UGCAGUCGAGCGCGCCUUCGGGGUGAGCGGCGGACGGGUUAGUAACGCGUGGGAAUAUACCCUUUUCUGCGGAAUAGCCUCUGGAAACGGAGAGUAAUACCGCAUACGCCCUUCGGGGGAAAGAUUUAUCGGGGAAGGAUUAGCCCGCGUUAGAUUAGGUAGUUGGUGGGGUAAUGGCCUACCAAGCCUACGAUCUAUAGCUGGUUUUAGAGGAUGAUCAGCAACACUGGGACUGAGACACGGCCCAGACUCCUACGGGAGGCAGCAGUGGGGAAUCUUGGACAAUGGGCGCAAGCCUGAUCCAGCCAUGCCGCGUGAGUGAUGAAGGCCUUAGGGUCGUAAAGCUCUUUCGCCUGUGAAGAUAAUGACGGUAGCAGGUAAAGAAACCCCGGCUAACUCCGUGCCAGCAGCCGCGGUAAUACGGAGGGGGUUAGCGUUGUUCGGAAUUACUGGGCGUAAAGCGCACGUAGGCGGACUGGAAAGUUGGGGGUGAAAUCCCAGGGCUCAACCCUGGAACUGCCUCCAAAACUAUCAGUCUAGAGUUCGAGAGAGGUGAGUGGAAUUCCGAGUGUAGAGGUGAAAUUCGUAGAUAUUCGGAGGAACACCAGUGGCGAAGGCGGCUCACUGGCUCGAUACUGACGCUGAGGUGCGAAAGUGUGGGGAGCAAACAGGAUUAGAUACCCUGGUAGUCCACACCGUAAACGAUGAAUGCCAGUCGUCGGGUAGCAUGCUAUUCGGUGACACACCUAACGGAUUAAGCAUUCCGCCUGGGGAGUACGGUCGCAAGAUUAAAACU
rnacentral:rRNA from 1 species